UACGGAGGGUGCAAGCGUUGUUCGGAAUUACUGGGCGUAAAGCGCACGUAGGCGGCUCUGUAAGUUGGGGGUGAAAUCCCGAGGCUCAACCUCGGAAUUGCCUUCAAGACUGCAGGGCUUGAGUUCGGGAGAGGUGAGUGGAAUUCCCAGUGUAGAGGUGAAAUUCGUAGAGAUUGGGAAGAACACCAGUGGCGAAGGCGGCUCACUGGCCCGUAACUGACGCUGAGGUGCGAAAGCGUGGGGAGCAAACAGG
rnacentral:rRNA from 1 species